rnacentral:lncRNA from 1 species
CCCAGCUGCCUGGCCUGCCUUUCCCUCCCACAGCUCCGGCUUGGGCCUGGCCCUGACGGGAGGGUGGCAUAAAGGAGCUCGGGGCAGCCGCCCACUCUCUUCAGUGCCUGCAGCUGGGAUGAAUCCUGCAGGGGCAGAUAGCAGCCAUGGUGGGGAGAACAGCCCCUGUCCUCAGCAGCCACACAGGAACAUGGUCCUCAGGGCCCAUCACUGGGGACCAAGCGGUCACUCUGCGCCUGACAGAGAGGCGCCCAGGGUCUGCAGGUACUUCCAGCGUGGCUUCUGCUUCCGUGGAGACAGGUGCAGGUAGGUGCCUCUCUUCCCUGGCCGGGAGGAUGCAGGUACUGCCAGGGCAGGGGUCAUGGGGGUCCUCGCUCUUCUGUCCCCGCAGCUAUUGGCACCUGGUGCCCACCAGCCCCCUAGAGUGGGGCCGCCGCUAUUCUGAGCCACUUGUCACCAGGCCGGGUCCCUGGCCAGGCCUGACCCGCAGGGCCUCCGAGCCCACCUUCCCGCCCUCUGUGGUUGUGGACUGGGGCCAGGGCUGGCUUGGGGCCCGCUGGGGCAUGGAGUUGGGCCUGGAGGAGGCUGGAGGCAGCUCUUGGAGGUCCCUGUCUUCGUCAUGUGAGUCCCCAGGGCCUUCGGGUGGGCCCAGGCGGCCGGCGGGGAGAGCAGGGCCUCUAAUCUUGCCUUCCACUCCUCCUGCUCCUCGGGGGCUCAGUGGAGGAACAU